rnacentral:rRNA from 1 species
GACGAACGCUGGCGGCGUGCCUAAUACAUGCAAGUAGAACGCUGAAGGAGGAGCUUGCUUCUCUGGAUGAGUUGCGAACGGGUGAGUAACGCGUAGGUAACCUGCCUGGUAGCGGGGGAUAACUAUUGGAAACGAUAGCUAAUACCGCAUAAUAGUAGAUGUUGCAUGACAUUUGCUUAAAAGGUGCAAUUGCAUCACUACCAGAUGGACCUGCGUUGUAUUAGCUAGUUGGUGGGGUAACGGCUCACCAAGGCGACGAUACAUAGCCGACCUGAGAGGGGGGUCGGCCACCCUGGGACUGAGACACGGCCCAGACUCCUACGGGAGGCAGCAGUAGGGAAUCUUCGGCAAUGGACGGAAGUCUGACCGAGCAACGCCGCGUGAGUGAAGAAGGGUUUCGGAUCGGAAAGCUCUGUUGUAAGAGAAGAACGAGUGUGAGAGUGGAAAGUUCACACUGUGACGGUAUCUUACCAGAAAGGGACGGCUAACUACGUG